CUCUGAGACGACCACGGCGGCAUCCUCGUCAGCCGUCCACGUCGUCUGAAGGUCCCGGAGCCAACGCG
rnacentral:sRNA from 1 species